rnacentral:rRNA from 1 species
CCUACGGGUGGCAGCAGUGAGGAAUAUUGGUCAAUGGGCGCGAGCCUGAACCAGCCAAGUCGCGUGAAUGAUGAAUGCUCUACGGUUUGUAAACUUCUUUUAUAAAGGAAUAAAGUGAGGUACGUGUCCCUUUUUGCAUGUACUUUAUGAAUAAGGAUCGGCUAACUCCGUGCCAGCAGCCGCGGUAAUACGGAGGAUCCGAGCGUUAUCCGGAUUUAUUGGGUUUAAAGGGAGCGUAGAUGGGUUGUUAAGUCAGUUGUGAAAGUGUGCGGCUCAACCGUAAAAUUGCAGUUGAAACUGGGAGUCUUGAGUACAGUUGAGGUAGGCGGAAUGCGUGGUGUAGCGGUGAAAUGCUUAGAUAUCACGAAGAACUCCGAUUGCGAAGGCAGCUUACUAAGCUGCCACUGACGUUGAUGCUCGAAAGUGUGGGGAUCAAACAGGAUUAGAUACCCCGGUAGUC